rnacentral:lncRNA from 10 species
CAUAGAAUAUUGAGAACAGGAAAGAUCAGAGAUGGGAUGAAAACUCUGAGAUUGUGAACCAGAAAGUCAUCAAGAUUACCUAAGAGCAUCACAGAUUCUAGCUUUCUCAAAACUUGUGAAACACAGUUGAACAUUUUCAAGAUUUCUUGGCCAGUCGCAAAUCCUCAAGCAUCCAGGAAAUGAAAUGCCAGAAAUUCCUAUAUUAUAGGACCAAAACUGAGCUCACAGACUACCUUUUGAACCUUGUACUCAGAACGACUUAGGCUUCUAAGUCCUGAUUCUUCGUCCAGAAAACAUCAUUACUGAAGACCAUGCAGAGAAAGUAACCCUAUAGCUUAGAAAAGGGAGAACAUGAGAAAGCAGCCAAGUGUCACUACUCCAUACUUUCUCACAAGUCUGCAGAAAUUGCUUGGAAAAAUAAAUGUGCAUUUCAUAAUGCAGAAACCUGA